UGGGGAAUAUUGCACAAUGGGCGCAAGCCUGAUGCAGCCAUGCCGCGUGUAUGAAGAAGGCCUUCGGGUUGUAAAGUACUUUCAGCGGGGAGGAAGGGAGUAAAGUUAAUAUCUUUGAUCAUUGACGUUACCCGCAGAAGAAGCACCGGCUAACUCCGUGCCAGCAGCCGCGGUAAUACGGAGGGUGCAAGCGUUAAUCGGAAUUACUGGGCGUAAAGCGCACGCAGGCGGUUUGUUAAGUCAGAUGUGAAAUCCCCGGGCCCAACCUGGGAACUGCAUCUAGUACUGGUAAGGUUGAGUCUCGUAGAGGGGGGUAGAAUUCCAGGUGUAGCGGUGAAAUGCGUAGAGAUCUGGAGGAAUACCGGUGGCGAAGGCGACCCCCUGAACGAAGACUGACGCUCAGGUGCGAAAGGGUGGGGAGCAAACAGG
rnacentral:rRNA from 1 species